GAAAGCUGCUCCCCGCCCCCAGCUGCUGUAUUGGGUAGAAGGACAGAGAUUACAGGGGAAGGAGGCAGAGGGUGUGCCAGAUGGGCCGUUCACAGGCAAUGCGGCUGGACAUGCAAAGGCCUGUGGGUGAGCAAAGGCUGGGGGUGAGCAAAGGCCUGCGGGUGAGCAAAGGCUGGGGCCUUGACGGGCUGGGGGCUCUGGUCUCUGCAAUGAGGCUGCCCGUCUUUCAUGAUCACAGGCAGCUCCUGGUGCGGGGAUGGGCCGCAUUCCCAGGUGAGCCCCCGGGUCCCACGGCAGCUCCCAGCCAGGUGAGCAUGCGCCUCUGCAACCAGAACAGCGAUCCCGGCCACAGAGCAGGACUCACCUUCCUCGCAGUCACAGCUGGCCCCGCGUUCCGUUUCUGCCCCUGUCAGAGGGACCCAGUGGGGGCAGCUGGGUAGUUUCCCAUCGGUUUUUGUGGGUGUUUUUUUUCCAUCCAGGGAACCCGCCAAAGGCUCUCUGCAGUUCAGGGAUGUGGCCAGAAGGUGGCAGAAUUUUACUGCCGUGAAUGGGCACUAAGCCUCCCUCCCCAGUCAGGCCUGGCCACACCCCCUUACAAGGGGUGGCCCUUCCCUCUUUUUGCAUGAACUACAGGGGCCUUAUCCGAGGCUGUGGAAUGUGACCACAGGAUGACAGGCCCCCAGCUGAGUAGGGACAAGGGGCUUGCUGCUCACCCCAACCCAGCACGGGAGCUGCCGGGCCCCCUCCAUGUGGGCGCUGAGCCCUCGCUGUGGAUGGGAGGGUGGGCCUGCAGGAGAGGUUGGGUAGGCUCGGCAGGCUCCGUCCUGCAGCCUCUGAUGUGGGAGGGAUGGGGUUAUGGACAAGGCAGACCACCAGGUAAGGGUGGGGUGGAAAGGCCGUCCUCAGAAUCAGGUGCCUGAGGGCUGCAGCCUGCAGCGCCCUGACUUCUAUCAUCCUCCUUCUCCCACCCACAGAGCAAAGGCAUCUACUUGCCGUCUGAUUGACAACGCAGAGCUCUGAAGGGGGCCCAGGAAUAACUGCCCAGAGGGGGCGGGCAGAGGCGAGGCUGUGACCCCACCAAUGUGAAGGCAGGUGAAGGCAGCACAGGUCUGAAGGGAGCCCUCCGGCCUCAGGCUUCCGGUCAGCAGCCUGGGUGGUGAUUCCCCCUCACUGGGCUGCCCAGGACAAAGGUCGAUGCUGGCGAAAAGCAUCUGGUAA